rnacentral:rRNA from 1 species
UUUUUGAAUAUAAUUUAAAGUAGGGCCUGCCCMCUGAAAUUUGAAGGGCCGCAGUAUUUUGACUGUGCAAAGGUAGCAUAAUCAUUAGUUUUUUAAUUGAAAGCUGGAAUGAAUGGUUUGAUGAGAUAAAGACUGUUUCUAAUUUAAUUUUAAAGAAUUUUAUUUUUAAGUUAAAAAGCUUAAAUAUUUUAUAAAGACGAGAAGACCCUAUAGAGUUUUAUUUAAUUAAUUAUAUAAAUUUUAGAAUUUAAAAUUUUUAUAUUAAAAUUAAAUUUUAUUGGGGUGAUAGUAAAAUUAAAUAAACUUUUAUUUUAUAAAUACAUAAAUAAGUGAAUUUUUGAUCCAUAAAAAUGAUUAAAAGAUUAAAUUACCUUAGGGAUAACAGCGUAAUUUUUUUUUAGAGUUCAAAUCGAAAAAAAAGUUUGCGACCUCGAUGUUGGAUUAAAAUUAAAUUUUGGUGUAGAAGCUAAAAAUUUAGGUCUGUUCGACCUUUAAAAUUUUACA